rnacentral:rRNA from 1 species
GGCUCAGAUUGAACGCUGCGGCAUGCCUUACACAUGCAAGUCGAACGGACAGCACGGACUUCGGUCUGGUGGCGAGUGGCGAACGGGUGAGUAAUGUAUCGGAACAUACCUUCAGUGGGGAUAACGUAGCGAAAGUUACGCUAAUACCGCAUAUUCUGUGAGCAGGAAAGCAGGGGAUCGCAAGACCUUGCGCUGAUUGAGCGGCCGAUAUCAGAUUAGCUAGUUGGUGAGGUAAAGGCUCACCAAGGCGACGAUCUGUAGCGGGUCUGAGAGGAUGAUCCGCCACACUGGAACUGAGACACGGUCCAGACUCCUACGGGAGGCAGCAGUGGGGAAUUUUGGACAAUGGGGGCAACCCUGAUCCAGCCAUGCCGCGUGAGUGAAGAAGGCCUUCGGGUUGUAAAGCUCUUUCGGCCGGGAAGAAAUCGCAUGGGCUAAUACCCUGUGCGGAUGACGGUACCGGCAUAAGAAGCACCGGCUAACUACGUG